ACGAUAGCUAGGAAAGAGAGGGAGUAAAUCACUAUCCUUUACAGAGAGUGGAUUGAGGCUGAGAAAUCCGCAGGGCAAUGGGAUUGAAAGUAGCUCUGGAGCACCUCUGCUGAACGGAGUAGGCGGAGGCGGGUGAUUGCGUUAAAGAUCGUGAGUGCCGGAACUUCCGGAAAUAGGGUGGUAACGCGAACCUUCGUCCUUAUA
rnacentral:ncRNA from 1 species